CACCUCUCUUAGACCUCACUGAAGGGCUGACUACCGCUGGGGAAGGAUCUCUUAUUGGAGAUCCUUCCUUGGUGUAGCUUUCCCCUGUAAACCUGGAAUCUUCUGAUACAGGCUUACUUUCCACCAUCAUAACAUCCUCUCUGUAAUCAACAAUUGAGCAGAACAUCUUCCAGUGUCCUGGUUUUGGAAUUUUACUGUUGGUCCGUCUGGCUCGACGUGCACGUAGUCUCACUUGGAAUAUUUAAUGCAAAUAGCAUUUGAUCUGCGAUGCUGAGAUUUACAGCCCUGGCAAACAUAAGGAUACUGCAUUUUAAUUCACUUACAAUACAAAAUAGUUGCUUUGAUAUUCCUGAGAACAAGCGCCUUGGGAUCUGCUCCUCCCAAAUGACGUCAAAUAAGAAUUUCUCUAUUAACACUAGUGGAUGAAGGAUCAGACUCUUCAAAAAUGAACAGUAAAAAUUUAUGACUACUGCUAUAGGCCAAAGCUUGAAGUGCUUAUUACGCAGUCAAGACUGUCCUUGAAAUCAGUGAAGGCUUCGCUGAGAAAGAAGGAUGUCAUUAAUAGUAUGGGAAGAUUUCAGAUUCCAGAUUCCAGUACUGUGCAUCGUUGGAUGUUUCAGAAUAACCCAUGUCACACUGGUGAACCUAUGACCCGGGAUUUGAUUUUCACAGAUCUGUGUAAACAAAAAUACCCCAGUGAUGAAACUAGGAACUGUGAGGAGUCAUUGUAACAAAAGGCCAUCUGAGAAGAUA